CUGCCUGCCAGAGUCUGGGCCUCUUUCACUCAACCUCAGGCUCUUUUCAGCUCACCAUCUGUACCAGUCCUUGGAGAUUGUUUUCCUUUGCAGAUGAGAAAAUAAAGUGGCUAUCACCUGUAUGAACUUUGGAAGUAACAGAGAUGGCUUUUGUUCACCAUUCACUAGUGAGACUUCAGUCACAUGAUCACACCAAUCACUGGAAGCCUAUCAAGUGCAUUCUACAUCUGUACCCAGAGAGAAGGGGAACUGGUAUUUUGAACCCGUGGGAAAGGGCAAUGGCAUGGUCUGCAUUUAAUAAGUACUUAUUACAGAAUCUGAACCUGCAAGGCAUCAGGCUGCCUUCUCUGAAGUAGCAUCUCUGUAAAUGCUGCAGAAUGAGUAAGAUCCCGCCGAGCACUGAGCACCAAUGACCAAGGUGAGCAGACUGCAGAGUGCAUUGAGCGGGGCAUGUAAGGAAAGUGAUACAUCCCGAGCCACACCCUGAGAGCUAAUGCUCACUCGUGCUUACAGUGAGGCCUGAG
rnacentral:lncRNA from 1 species